rnacentral:antisense_RNA from 1 species
CACCGAAGAACUCUCCCUCACCCAACAGGGCGAUACGCAGUUCCUCUCCAUGAGGACCUUUGUUGAUAACCUCUGCCUGACCGCUUGCCACGAUGAAGAAUUUCUGCUUGUCCUUCCCUUCCUUGACAAAGAGGUUGCCUAAAGCCACUUCCUCCGUCACAAACGAACGGGCAAGCCGGUUGACAAUCUCGUCAUCGAAAGCAGAGAAGAGAGGUAUCUGUUUCAGGCUUUUUGCCGUAAAACUGGGAACACCGUCGAAAUACUCAAUGGAAAGACGCUCCGUCUUUUUGAGUUCUACCUUGGUGCGGUUGACACGGAAGGUACCACCGCUGACCUGUACCCACGGCAACAGUUUCAACAGGAGUCUCGGAGUGAUACUGCCCAUCUGCGGGGCGGUCUUAGUAGUCGUCGCCAGUCUUCUGGCGGUGGCAGUGGUC